rnacentral:sRNA from 1 species
GCGUGCCCGCGCUGAGGGCUGGCGUCGUGGCAAGUGGCACCGGGCCUCUUUGUGCAGCGCCUUGCUGACGCCCAGGGUUCUGAUGUAGAAGCCUACACCAGGGCCUGAGGUUGUGAAACUCAUGGCAGUCCACGCCUGAGAAGAGAAGGCCUGAAAGAGAAGGAAGAACCCAUGGGACUUGCCACGGUUUUGACUUAUAUCUGCAACUCCAAGGCUACAGGCGGGAAGUAAGAACAGUGCUCAAGUGGCAGCAGAUACUGACUAUGGCUUCAUUUCACAGCUUCACACAGCAGGGUAGCAGAAAACAAAGAAUGUAAGAUUGGACACAGUUGCUGCUGUUCACCAACUCUGUGAUCUUCAAAAAGCCAUAUAGCUUCUCCAGACCUGUUAAUCAGGGAAGAAGCAGAUAACUGAAGGCUGGCUUUGAGAAGUUUCGAGGUAACAUAGGAACCUGCUUACGCAGGCACUCUUUCCAUCUGACUUGGGCCAAGGUGCUCCGAGAUUGACAAGCAGCCAGCCUCUGGGAGAGCACUCUGAUCAGAUCAUUGAUAGAACAUUCACUACUCUACUUAUCAUACCCAUUUACUUAUCUCCAUCUUCUGUUAGACUCCUUAAAAACAGCAGCCCACAGCAGGUGUGGGGAUAAAACAGUCCUGGGCAGUGCUCAUUGUACUCACACUAUGCCAGGCACUGUGCCAGGAACAUUCAAAUUUCUAAGAAUCUACAAAGUAGAUACCUCAUUAUACAUCUUACAGAGAGCAUCAUUGGUGUUUCCAAGGUCACAGGGCUAGGCAAGGGUGGAACCCUGAGUCUGCUUGUCUGUUUGCCCCAUUACAGCCCAGGGGUGGUGGCCUCACCCCACCUCCAGGCACCCACAAGAAUAUAAAAUCUUGUACAAGGAUGUCGAUAUUACUAUUGCCAUUCCCAAGUGCACCUGCACCUGUAGUAUCAGGUGGUUUGCAGCCUUGGCUGCAUAGCUGCAUAUGAGAAUCACCUGGGAAGCUUUUAAAAAUCCCAGUAUCCCCACCUCUUCCCCAGUUACAGUGGAGUCUUGCGGGUGGUGAGGGACAUCAUUAUUUUUGAAGCUUCCAAGUAAUUCUGGUGUGCAGUGGGGUGACCAGCUGUCCCAGGGACCUCCUUUAAAAAAUAAUAUCCCGGGCGCAUGACAGGCCAAUUGCCCUAAUGCAACCAAGGUUAAGAACUACUGGUUUAAUGGGAGAUAUUUUUUCUGUGCUCGAUUAUACUGUUUUAUUAAACUCUGAAUCCAUUUCUUUCUGCAAAUUUUUAAGGCAAAAAAGAAAUGCGAAAAUAUACGUCUCAUUUUUAGCACCUUUAGAGACCUGGAGUCAUUUGAUGUGCUUCAUGACUUAAAAUUUUGUAAUAUGCCUUGUGAUACUACCUUAUUUUUACCAUAUAUAUUUUUUAAUGCUUAACAAGAGCAUAUUUGCUCUUUCACAUUUUUUUCACAUACAAAGUUUUAGACAUCAAGCACUCUAAAUUCUUUUUUACAAAUACUUUUUUCUUAAAAUGUUAAGAAAAAGCCUAUAAUAUCACUUCCUUUGUUUUCUGAUGUAGACUCAGUUGAUGUGCACAGCAGUGUCAAGUCAAUCUCCAAAAUACUCCCUGUAGACAGGGUGGGGAGAAGACCCUCACUUCCUGCCUACUAAUGAACUCAUGUUGAUAUAGACCUUUGCCUCAUCAGAUUCAUUUGUUAAGCUAACCAGUGUCUGCUUCUCUGGACAUUACUGGACUCUUCUACCUGUGAAGCCAUCUUAAAAAAAUAUAUUGAGUGAUUUCUUAACGAAACAUCUACUCUUUGCCAAGCAUAAAGUUACCUCCCACUUGUAUACACCCUUUUCUCAUUUGUCCUCACAUCAGCUGUAUAAAUGAGAAAUAUUCACAUUUUAUGAGUGAGAACAUUCAGGCUCAGAUAGGUUAACAAGUUUGAAAUCAUGUGCUAGUAAACCAAACACCUAGGUUUUGAACCUUGUUCUUCUUGUCCCAAGGUCAUUAUUCUCUACUGUGUUACACUCAGCUGCUUUCACCUGGAAAAGCAGAGGAAUCAGGCUGUCUCCUGCAGCUGUCUUGGUCCAUUCUGCUGCCCAAGCAGUACACUUGGUUUCAGAUGAAAAUCUAGGAUCCCAAGGAUGGGUACAUUUGUCGGCAGCAUUUGGAAGUAUUUUUCGUCAUCAGGAUGGCAGUGAAUUUGCAAUUCAGUCAUCUCAGUGCAAGGUAGUUUGGCAAAAAGAUUAUGACACUUAAUGGAUUUUUUUCCUCUUUUAAAUCUGUUUACCCAGAAUUUUGUAGUAUAAUGCAAUGUAAUAACAUUGCAUUAUUUUGAGCAUAGUUUAGAAGCCAAGAAGAUACUUUCAAACAGGUGACAUAAUUCAGUUAUGGCCCAGAUGUCCUGCCUUCCCCAUCACACAUUCAUAUUAAUGGUCUUAGAAAGCUGUUUCUGAGGCAACAGUUUCUUCCUCAAUAUCAUCCUACUGGGGAAAUUUUGGCAGUUGAUGUCUAAUGUUGAUUUUUUUUUCCUGAUCGAUUUUAAUUGUUUACUGGGCACUUUGGGGUAGAAUUGUUUUAAAAAUUUGGUUACUGGGAAAGCUAGACAAGCCUUUGCUGUGGUGAAAGAGACAGAAGGAAUAUAGAUAUAAUUUGUAAGUGGUUAUGCCAUUGGGCUUAAUGCUUUGCAUACAUUAUCUAGUUUGCAUCUCCUGAUCGCCCUUUAAGUUUGCUUACGGUAAAGCAUUAUUCCUUGCUUGGCAAUGCACAGAGAAAAAUUAUUUGCUCAAGGACCCUGCAAAUGAGGGACAGGAUCAGAGUUGGAACUGUAAACUUUUCCACUCCAUUUCAUGUGAUCUUCAUGGGUACAGCAGCUAUACCCUGCCCCAGCAAUGAGUAUGGUAGAGCCACAUUCAAAGGAGGACUUUGGGGUCAGAAUUCCUAAAAAGAGCUGCUUAAGUUUGCUUCUACAUCCAAAAACGAUGCAGUCACAGUCAACUAACACUGAGCUUGCUGGGCAUCUCCUGAACAGAAAUGUAUGUGGUGGUCCAUGUAGCAUGUAUGCGAUAUAAUUGGCCACCCACCUUUCCUUUUCACAUUAACAUUUAUCACAGAAACACAUUCAUUUGCUACAGGGAUAUUUCACACUUUGGCUGAACUUUGAGAGAAGUGGGUGAGGAAAAGGUAGUUUAGUAACUAGUUUAUAUAUAAACCUAAAUUGUAGUGAGUACUCUUGUAGUUGGAGCAUCUUUUCUAUGGUAAUUAUAAAUGGCUGUUAGCCCCUUUGCACUAAAGCUAGGUGGGUGGUUUUGCCACAGAGGUAAAUUAUCUUUCGGGCGGUAUAACCAAACAAAUAAAAUAUAAAGUGAGAUUCAGGGCAUGUUCUGAAUACAGCAGUUAAUUAGGCAGCUAAGGAAACUGUAUUUUAGCCCCUCUGACUAUGUGAUUGGUAUUUUUUUAAAUUAAAAAAUGGAAAAUAAUAUUUUUAACAGCUUAUGAUAUGUCAUUUAAUCCUCACAGUAACUCUGUGGGGUAGGUAGGUACUGUUUCUAUCUCAUUUUACAGGUGAGGAAUCAAAACAGUUGGUAUACCCAGGUUGUAUAUCUAGAAAGUGAUAGAGCUGGGAUUUUAAACCUUAUUAUCUGAUUCCAGAAUCUCUAGCUUUAAACACUAUGUUACCACUUACUUCUCUUCGAAUUUUAUUGAGCUUUAGAUGUUUCCAGUAUUUAGAAGUCAAAUGCUUCGUUUUUAAUAGGAACUUACACAGUCUUUUAUGUUUUUUUAUAGCCCUCAAUGUCACUGAUGUGGAUUCUCCCAAACUCGAUACUUUGUUUGUUUUUAUGUCCCCAUAAUAAGUCUUUAAGAAAACAGGGCAAGUGAGCUCAAAAUCAAAAGAAAACCCACCAACAGUGAAUGCAUUCAGGGCUAUUUCCAGGUCUUUCCUUUGAAGAAAGAUAAGACUCAGUCCAGAGAGCACAUCUGUGACACACUGUGCCUCUUGCCUUUGGUGCGUGGCAGUCAUCUUUGGCUCAUGCUGUACAUUAUUCUACAUUAGAAAACUCACUGUAUGUUGCUAAAUAAUUUUUUGAAAACAGGCAAAUUAAUAAAUGGACAUCUUAUUUAUUGCACCAUAAAA